rnacentral:rRNA from 1 species
CAUGAGUUUGAUCCUGGCUCAGGAUGAACGCUAUUAGUGUGUUUUAUACAUGCAAGUUGUACGAAUUAUUUCGUAGCAAACGGGUGAGGAACUAAUACAAAAUUUUACCAUUUAGUUGAGAAUAAAACGUUUUUUAAAAUUAUUAAAAUAAUUUUAAAAUUAAUAAAUUUUUACGUUAAUGCUCCGUUUUUAUUACUCAGUAAUAAAUUGAAAAACUAUAAUAUUAAUUUUUAUAGUUGCUAAUUAUUGAUACCUUUGUAUAAGAUUAGGUUGUUGAUAAUUUUAACAUUUUAUCAAGCCUAUGAUCUUUAGUUGGUCUGAAAGGAUGAUCAACCACACUGGGACUGAGAUACGGCCCAGACUCAAUUUUGAGUCAGCAGUAAAGAAUCUUGGACAAUGAACGCAAGUUUGAUCCAGCAACACUAUUUGAAUGAUUGACAGCUAUAAUUUGGUUGUAAAGUUCUUUCGUUAAAAUUGAUAAUGACAAUUUAAAGAAGUUAUAGUCCUAGCUAAUCUCGUGCCAGCAGCUGCGGUAAAACGUGAAGGGCAAGCGUUAUCCAGAUUAACUCGGCGUAAAGUGUUCGUAGACGGUAAAGCAAGUUAUUUGUUAAACUUUAAAGCUUAACUUUAAAUUAGCUUAUAAUACUACUUUACUUGAGUUUUUUAUAAAAAGAUAGAAUUUUAAAUGGAGGGUUAAUCAUCCAAAGAUAUUUAAAGGAACACCUAAAGCGAAAGCAAUUUUUUAAUAAAAACUGACGUUGAGGGACGAAAGUACAGUUAGCAAACAGGAUUAGAUACCCUGGUAGUCCACGCCGUAAACGUUGGGCGCUAGGUGUGGGGCUCAUUCCACGAGUUCCGUGCCGCAGCUAACGCAUUAAGCGCCCCGCCUGGGGAGUACGGCCGCAAGGCUAAAACUCAAAGGAAUUGACGGGGGCCCGCACAAGCGGUGGAGCAUGU